rnacentral:rRNA from 1 species
AUGGACAAGCAAACGAUCCGGAUCGCUGCGCUGGCCCUGCUAUCUCUACACCUCCUAUGCUCCGCCACCAUAGCGCAAUGCCGAACCGUCGCAGCCGGCAUGGACAACGACGAUAUCCAUGAAAUGAGCGUGGGUUGCCAGAAAAAGUGCUCCUACGCCUAUCAUUGUUGCAUCUGUUGUAUUAAUACUGACUGGUGCUACACAAGUUCCGAGAGGUGCGAUAGAAACUGCCCGGAUCUCUUCUCGCAUUCUGAUGAAACUGUGCUGACCAGGUCUGCAGUACGCACGGACGGCUUGAUGAGAGGCAUCAUCCCACAAGAGUUCGGCAAUUGUCGUGUGUAG